UACGUAGGGGGCAAGCGUUAUCCGGAUUUACUGGGUGUAAAGGGAGCGUAGACGGAUAAGCAAGUCUGAUGUGAAAAUCCGGGGCCCAACCCCGGAAUUGCAUUGGAAACUGCAUAUCUAGAGUGUCGGAGAGGCAAGUGGAAUUCCUGGUGUAGCGGUGAAAUGCGUAGAUAUCAGGAGGAACACCAGUGGCGAAGGCGGCUUGCUGGACGAUGACUGACGUUGAGGCUCGAAAGCGUGGGGAGCAAACAGG
rnacentral:rRNA from 1 species